rnacentral:rRNA from 1 species
AUACGAAGGGUGCAAGCGUUAAUCGGAAUUACUGGGCGUAAAGCGCGCGUAGGUGGUUUUGUAAGUUGGAGGUGAAAGCCCCGGGCUCAACCUGGGAAUUGCCUCCAAAACUGCAUGACUAGAGUACGGUAGAGGGUAGUGGAAUUUCCUGUGUAGCGGUGAAAUGCGUAGAUAUAGGAAGGAACACCAGUGGCGAAGGCGACUACCUGGACUGAUACGGACACUGAGGUGCGAAAGCGUGGGGAGCAAACAGGAUUAGAUCCCCUGGUAGUCCACGCCGUAAACGAUGUCAACUAGCCGUUGGGAUCCUUGAGAUCUUAGUGGCGCAGCUAACGCAUUAAUUUGACCGCCUGGGGAGUACGGCCGCAAGGUUAAAACUCAAAUGAAUUGGCGGGG